GACGAACGCUGGCGGCGUGCUUAACCCAUGCAAGUCGAGCGGAGCGGCGAACGGGUGAGUAACGCGUGAGUAACUGCCCCCCUCUCUGGGAUAACAGUUGGAAACGGCUGCUGAUACCGGAUAGUGGGGGCUGACUCGCGUCCUAUCAGCUUGUUGGUGGGGUUGUGGCCUACCAAGGCGACGACGGGUAGCCGGACUGAGAGGGCGACCGGCCACAUUGGGCUGAGAUACGGGCCAAACUCAUACGGGAGGCAGGAGUGGGGAAUAUUGCACAAUGGGGGAAACCCGGGUGGAGCAACGCCGCGUGCGAGAUGACGGCCUUCGAGUUGUAAACCGCUUUCAGCCGUAACGCGGUAGUGGCAGAAGAAGCACCGGCUAACUACGUGCCAGCAGCCGCGGUAAUUC
rnacentral:rRNA from 1 species